GCGCCGGUGGUGUAAGGCGAACAUCGCUGCCCGGAAAGCAGAAGAUGCGGGUUCUAGUCCCGCCCGGCGCA
rfam:Heligmosomoides polygyrus genome assembly, scaffold: HPBE_scaffold0000627